UACGGAGGGUGCGAGCGUUAAUCGGAAUUACUGGGCGUAAAGCGUGCGCAGGCGGUUGUGCAAGACAGAUGUGAAAUCCCCGGGCUCAACCUGGGAACUGCAUUUGUGACUGCACGGCUGGAGUGCGGCAGAGGGGGAUGGAAUUCCGCGUGUAGCAGUGAAAUGCGUAGAUAUGCGGAGGAACACCGAUGGCGAAGGCAAUCCCCUGGGCCUGCACUGACGCUCAUGCACGAAAGCGUGGGGAGCAAACAGG
rnacentral:rRNA from 1 species